rnacentral:rRNA from 1 species
GUUUAUUUUACCUUGUUGCUUCGGCGGGCCCGCCUUAACUGGCCGCCGGGGGGCUUACGCCCCCGGGCCCGCGCCCGCCGAAGACACCCUCGAACUCUGUCUGAAGAUUGUAGUCUGAGUGAAAAUAUAAAUUAUUUAAAACUUUCAACAACGGAUCUCUUGGUUCCGGCAUCGAUGAAGAACGCAGCGAAAUGCGAUACGUAAUGUGAAUUGCAAAUUCAGUGAAUCAUCGAGUCUUUGAACGCACAUUGCGCCCCCUGGUAUUCCGGGGGGCAUGCCUGUCCGAGCGUCAUUUCUGCCCUCAAGCACGGCUUGUGUGUUGGGCCCCGUCCUCCGAUCCCGGGGGACGGGCCCGAAAGGCAGCGGCGGCACCGCGUCCGGUCCUCGAGCGUAUGGGGCUUUGUCACCCGCUCUGUAGGCCCGGCCGGCGCUUGCCGAUCAACCCAAAUUUUUAUCCAGGUUGACCUCGGAUCAGGUAGGGAUACCCGCUGAACUUAAGCAUAUCAA